GACGAACGCUGGCGGCGUGCUUAACACAUGCAAGUCGAACGGAAAGGCCCUGCUUUUGUGGGGUGCUCGAGUGGCGAACGGGUGAGUAACACGUGAGUAACCUGCCCUUGACUUUGGGAUAACUUCAGGAAACUGGGGCUAAUACCGGAUAGGAGCUCCUGCUGCAUGGGGGGGGGUGGAAAGUUUCGGCGGUUGGGGAUGGACUCGCGGCUUAUCAGCUUGUUGGUGGGGUAGUGGCUUACCAAGGCUUUGACGGGUAGCCGGCCUGGGAGGGUGAGCGGCGACAUUGGGACUGAGAUACGGCCCAGAGUACUACGGGAGGCAGCUGUGGGGAAUAUUGCAGAAUGGGCAGAAGCCUGAUGCAGCAACGCCGCGUGCGGGAUGACGGCCUUCGGGUUGUAAACCGCUUUCGCCUGUGACGAAGCGUGAGUGACGGUAAUGGGUAAAGAAGCACCGGCUAACUACGUG
rnacentral:rRNA from 1 species